GACGAACGCUGGCGGCGUGCUUAACACAUGCAAGUCGAGCGGAAAGGCCCUUUCGGGGGUACUCGAGCGGCGAACGGGUGAGUAACACGUGAGUAAUCUGCCCUUGGCUUUGGGAUAGCCACCGGAAACGGUGAUUAAUACCGGAUACGACCAACCCUGGCAUCGGGUGUUGGUGGAAAGUUUUUCGGCCAGGGAUGUGCUCGCGGCCUAUCAGCUUGUUGGUGGGGUAAUGGCCUACCAAGGCUUCGACGGGUAGCCGGCCUGAGAGGGUGACCGGCCACACUGGGACUGAGACACGGCCCAGACUCCUACGGGAGGCAGCAGUGGGGAAUAUUGGACAAUGGGCGGAAGCCUGAUCCAGCAACGCCGCGUGAGGGAUGACGGCCUUCGGGUUGUAAACCUCUUUCAGCGGGGACGAAGCGCAAGUGACGGUACCCGCAGAAGAAGCACCGGCCAACUACGUGCCAGCCGCCGCAGUAACAC
rnacentral:rRNA from 1 species